CCUGCUGGGAAGGGUUAUAACUCAUUGGCAGAGCAUCUGUUUUGCAUGCAGAAGGGCGCAGGUUCAAUACCCGGCACCUGCAGGU